rnacentral:rRNA from 1 species
ACUCCUACGGGAGGCAGCAGUGGGGAAUAUUGGGCAAUGGGCGCAAGCCUGACCCAGCAAUGCCGCGUGGGUGAAGAAGGUCUUCGGAUUGUAAAGCCCUUUCGGCGGGGACGAUGAUGACGGUACCCGCAGAAGAAGCCCCGGCUAACUUCGUGCCAGCAGCCGCGGUAAUACGAAGGGGCUAGCGUUGCUCGGAAUCACUGGGCGUAAAGGGCGCGUAGGCGGCCCUGUUGGUCCGGCGUGAAAUCCCUGGGCUUAACCUGGGGGCUGCGCUGGAGACGGCGGGGCUGGAGGCCCGAGAGAGGGUGGUGGAAUUCCCAGUGUAGAGGUGAAAUUCGUAGAUAUUGGGAAGAACACCGGUGGCGAAGGCGGCCACCUGGCUCGGACCUGACGCUGAGGCGCGACAGCGUGGGGAGCAAACAGGAUUAGAUACCCUGGUAGACUGUC